UAACUAGAUUGUGUGACAUUCAGAAGCCCAGGUACUAGUUAGUGGAAGUGACUUCUAUGCUUUCCCACGUCUUGAUCCAAAAAGUGAAAGAAUAGCUUGGAUUCAGUGGAGUCAUCCAUACAUGCCAUGGGAUAAAUCAGAACUUUGGGUUGGCUAUAUUUCUGAAAAAGGAGAGAUCUACAAGCAGGUGUCUGUUGCGGGGAAUGAUCCUGCACUGGUGGAGUCCCCAACUGAGCCCAAGUGGUCUUCUGAUGGGGAGCUGUUUUUCAUCACGGAUAGGGCAAAUGGUUUUUGGAAUCUCCAUAAAUGGGUAAUUCUUUAACUUUUAUUUCCCGCAAAAGCAUUUGUGUAUAGAGUGGGUUUUUAUUUACU